rnacentral:lncRNA from 1 species
CUCUCCAGCGGGCGGGGCGGGGCCGCCACGGGCCGCCCGCGAGUGGCGCCGGGAGGCGGUCGCCCUACGCCGCCCGGUAGGCCAACGGGCUCCCGGCCCACAGGCGGAAUCCGCCCGGGGAUGUCGCGGCGUGGGGGAGGGCCGAGAAUUCCCGAGGAAAGACAAGUAGCCCGGGUCGAGUCUCAGAAAAUGCGAGGCUCCUCAUCAGGUCAAGCUCAAGGAGGCCUCCAAGGGACCGGGGGAGGCCAGGAAGACUACACCAUAGAUGCUCAGUAUUGAAAAGCGAUGACAGGAGGAGUUCCCGUCGUGGCUCAGUGGUUAACAUAUCCGACGAGGAACCAUGAGGUUGCGAGUUCGAUCUCUGGCCUCACUCAGUGGGUUAAGGAUCCGGCGUGGCCGUGAGCUGUGGUGUAGGCUGGUGGCUACAGCUCCGAUUCGACCCCUAACCUGGGACCCUCCAUAUGUCACAGAGAGCUCCACUCUCUCCUUCUUCCUUCUCCGCCCGAGCCUCUUCCUCCUCUGUGGCACCCUCGUUAGAAGGAAACUACCUGAAUCCAGGUCAUGUGGGUAUAAGCUGGGUGGUGCUUGACUUCAGUCUGGGUCUCAGGUCUGAAGCGUGCUGAUGAUUCAAAGCCUGCUCACUUGACUUCAAAAGCGGGGUUGCUGAUUUCAGGGUGCAGGGUGGUGUCGGGUGGGGUGAGAGCCCCGGCCGACUUUGCAACUGGCGUUCAUUUCGGGGCACUGAGAGGAGCGGGUACCUCGCCGGCAGGUGCCCCAGGCCAGCGCAGACCAAGGUUCUGCUGUGGGAGGCAGAGGGAACUCCGCACGUCCGUCCGGUCUCUGCUGAUCUUGCAGCCAGGGGGUCUAGCACCCUACUUCGCACCUUAUUGGAGUUUCCUUUCGCUGCGGCCAACAGCUCUUCCUUUAGCUCUCGGCCAUGCUUCCUGCCUUGCCCCGACUGCAUUAGGGCAGUCCGCGCCAGGAGUAUCCUGCUGAUAGCUGCCUGGUUCCCAGCCUGCAGAACAUGAAAGGCAGCUGUCUUGCUUCCCUUCUUGGGGCUCUUCAGGCCACAUGGCUUGGGAGCACACCUUUUUGGACGGACUGCGUCCCCAUCAGAUGCUGGGCGAGCGUCUGUGGAAACCUGGGAGCAACCCUGGUCAUGCAGAACCCGAAGUCCCACAAGGCAGGGAGAGCACGGCACGAGUAUGUGUGGACGAUGGAAAGGUGUGACAACGCACUGUGGAGGGGGGAAUAGUGUUAACCUUGGGAUUCACUCUCAGAGUUUGGAAUAGAGAAAAUACUCUCGCCACCCAAUUCUGCAGCACCACAUCUUCCUUCUGUGGACAAAGAAAUGUUUCCCUCGGCCUUUGCCGAGAGAGCUGC